rnacentral:piRNA from 1 species
AAUGGGUGGAGUUCCUCAAGGUC